UACGAAGGGUGCAAACGUUGCUCGGAAUUACUGGGCGUAAAGCGCACGUAGGCGGCUUUGUAGGUUAGAGGUGAAAGCCCAGGGCUCAACCCUGGAAUUGCCUUUAAGACUGCAUCGCUAGAAUUGUGGAGAGGUAAGUGGAAUUCCGAGUGUAGAGGUGAAAUUCGUAGAUAUUCGGAAGAACACCAGUGGCGAAGGCGACUUACUGGACACAUAUUGACGCUGAGGUGCGAAAGCGUGGGGAGCAAACAGG
rnacentral:rRNA from 1 species